rnacentral:rRNA from 1 species
CCCUUAGAUGUCCUGGGCCGCACGCGUGCUACACUGAUGCAUACAGCGAGUACUCCCAGCUCCGCGAGGCUGCUGGUAAUCAGCAAUAUGCAUCGUGAUGGGGAUAGAUCUUUGGAAUUAUAGAUCUUGAACGAGGAAUUCCUAGUAAACGCAAGUCAUCACCUUGCGUUGACUAAGUCCCUGCCCUUUGUACACACCGCCCGUCGCUCCUACCGAUUUCGAGUGAUCCGGUGAAUCAUUCGGACCGCGUGGGCUUGACCUAACGUGGAAAGUCUAGGAAACCAUAUCACUUAGAGGAAGGAGAAGUCGUAACA